rnacentral:rRNA from 1 species
CCUACGGGGGGCAGCAGUGAGGAAUAUUGGUCAAUGGGCGUAAGCCUGAACCAGCCAAGUCGCGUGAGGGAUGAAGGUUCUAUGGAUCGUAAACCUCUUUUAUAAGGGAAUAAAGUGUGGGACGUGUCCUGUUUUGUAUGUACCUUAUGAAUAAGGCUCGGCUAACUCCGUGCCAGCAGCCGCGGUAAUACGGAGGAUCCGAGCGUUAUCCGGAUUUAUUGGGUUUAAAGGGUGCGUAGGCGGCCUUUUAAGUUAGCGGUGAAAGUCUGUGGCUCAACCAUAGAAUUGCCGUUGAAACUGGGAGGCUUGAGUAUGUUUGAGGCAGGUGGAAUGCGUGGUGUAGCGGUGAAAUGCUUAGAUAUCACGCAGAACCCCGAUUGCGAAGGCAGCCUGCCAAGCCAUGACUGACGCUGAUGCACGAAAGCGUGGGGAUCAAACAGGAUUAGAUACCCGGGUAGUC